rnacentral:rRNA from 1 species
GACGAACGCUGGCGGCGUGCCUAAUACAUGCAAGUAGAACGCACAGUUUAUACCGUAGCUUGCUACACCAUAGACUGUGAGUUGCGAACGGGUGAGUAACGCGUAGGUAACCUGCCUGGUAGCGGGGGAUAACUAUUGGAAACGAUAGCUAAUACCGCAUAAUAUUAAUUAUUGCAUGAUAAUUAAUUGAAAGGUGCAAUUGCACCACUACCAGAUGGACCUGCGUUGUAUUAGCUAGUAGGUGAGGUAACGGCUCACCUAGGCGACGAUACAUAGCCGACCUGAGAGGGGGAUCGGCCACACUGGGACUGAGACACGGCCCAGACUCCUACGGGAGGCUGCAGUAGGGAAUCUUCGGCAAUGGACGAAAGUCUGACCGAGCAACGCCGCGUGAGUGAAGAAGGUUUUCGGAUCGUAAAGCUCUGUUGUAAGAGAAGAACGGGUGUGAGAGUGGAAAGUUCACACUGUGACGGUAUCUUACCAGAAAGGGACGGCUAACUACGUG